UAUUUUUAUAAAAAUUGUUUAAUAAUUAUGGAUUUUAUAUUGGUUAGAAAAAGUAAUUAAUGAAAUUAAAAAGUUAGUAAUGUUUAGUAAAAUAUAAAUUAAACUAUAGUGUACAAGUACCGUAGGGGAAAUCGUUGAAAAUUGUAAUAGUAAAAUUAAAAGUUUGUAUCUUGUGUCUCAGGGAAUAUUUAUAUAAUCUAAAGUAUUUAGAGAUCUCGAAAUAAAUACAGCUAAUUUUAUAAAAAUGUUAUUGUAGAAAAUAUAUUUUAAAUAUAGAAUUAAAGGUGAAAUAUCAGUCGGGAUUUAUUAUAUCUAGUUUUUUAAAAUAAAAAUUUAAUUUUAUUUUCUUGUGUAUUCACUAAGAAAUUUUAACGUAGGAGGGAUAAGCUUCUUAUGUGACUAACAAACAGGUAGAAAGUUGUACGUUUUUUAAAUUAGGCUUAAAAAUGGCUAUUUUUAUAAAGUGUUAUAAUUUAAAUAAGUAGUAGAAAAAUAUUUUUUUUACCUUUUGUAAUUAUUAUUUUAAAGUUUAAAGUAACAUGGUAUUUGAAAUUAUAAUAAUAUUAUUAGUAGAAUUUUAUGUAAGGUUUGUAAUUAAAAUAAGAGUUAAUAUAUAAAAUUGGCUUGGUAUUAAAAAGGAAUUCGGCAAAACCAAUUUUUGCCUGUUUAUCAARRACAUGUMUGUUUGUAGGUAUAAAAAGUCCAAUCUGCCCACUGAUAUUAUUUUUUAAAGGGCCGCAGUAUUCUAACUGUGCAAAGGUAGCAUAAUCGUUAGUUCCUUAAUUGGGAUCUUGUAUGAAUGAUUAGACAAAAAAUUAGCUGUCUUUAUAAUUAAAAUUGAAAUUAACUUUUAAGUGAAAAGGCUUAAAUUGUUUGAAGUGACGAUAAGACCCUAUAAAGCUUAAUAUUUAUAUAAGAGUUUGAGUGAAAUGGAUUUUAAAAUUUUAAAGAUUAUAUGUAUUUUAUUGGGGUGAUAAAAGUAAAAUUAAAAUAACUGCUUUAUUGUUUAAACAAUGAUAUGUGAUUAAUGGGUUGUAAAUGAUCCUAUUAUGUGGAAUAAAGAUUAAGUUACUUUAGGGAUAACAGCGUUAUUUUUUUUAAGAGUUCUUAUCGAAAAAAAAGAUUGCGACCUCGAUGUUGAAUUAAAAUAUCUUUAUAAUUGUAGAGGUUAUAUAAGAAGGUCUGUUCGACCUUUAAAUUUUUACAUGAUUUGAGUUCAGACCGGUUUGAACCAGGUCGGUUUCUAUCUUUCAAUAAAAUGAAAUUACUUUAGUACGAAAGGAUUAAGUAAUUGGAAUAGUUUCAAUGAU
rnacentral:rRNA from 1 species